rnacentral:rRNA from 1 species
GACGAACGCUGGCGGCGUGCUUAACACAUGCAAGUCGAACGGUGAAGCCUUCGGGUGGAUCAGUGGCGAACGGGUGAGUAACACGUGAGCAAUCUGCCCUUGACUCUGGGAUAACUUCGGGAAACCGGAGCUAAUACCGGAUAUGACAUCUGGCCGCAUGGUCUGGGUGUGGAAAGAUUUAUCGGUCAAGGAUGAGCUCGCGGCCUAUCAGCUUGUUGGUGGGGAAUGGCCCACCAAGGCGACGACGGGUAGCCGGCCUGAGAGGGCGACCGGCCACACUGGGACUGAGACACGGCCCAGACUCCUACGGGAGGCAGCAGCGGGGAAUAUUGCGCAAUGGGCGGAAGCCUGACGCAGCGACGCCGCGUGAGGGAUGAAGGCCU